UACGUAGGGGGCCAGCGUUGUCCGGAUUCAUUGGGCGUAAAGCGCGUGUAGGCGGCCAGGUAGGUCCGAUGUGAAAUCUGGAGGCUCAACCUCCAGCGGUCAUUGGAAACCAUCUGGCUAGAGUCCGGAAGAGGAGAGUGGAAUUCCUGGUGUAGCGGUGAAAUGCGUAGAGAUCGGAAAGAACACCAACGGCGAAAGCACUCUGCUGGGCCGACACUGACACUGAGAGACGAAAGCUAGGGGAGCGAAUGGG
rnacentral:rRNA from 1 species